UAGGCUUGAGUGUGCUAGACUGUUUAUCUAGACCAGCCCAGCUCUUCAGAGCAACGUUGAAUCUCUGGGAAGAGAGAGCAUGGGGCGUGCUGAUUUAAAAACAGAAAAUGCAAAGUUGGACUGAAAAUAUCCUUAGUCUUCCAAGCAAUCUGCUUAAGGGUUCCAAACUUACCUUAAUUUGGUGAGAAAAGAAGCUGCCCUAUUUUUCUUUCUUCUACAACUGGAACCAGCCAUUUCCCAAAACCACCACCAUG
rnacentral:other from 1 species